UGCAGGCCACAAGGAAAAAUGAGGCGGAUGAGUGGGAUGAAAGUGGUUGUAAAAAUCAGCAAAGAUGGAUAAACAGGGUUCAAAAAGAUUGAUGAAGUUAAUGGGUGAGAUGACAAGAUGUCCAAAAUCUUACUGGUUUUAAACAAUACACACCUGCACGUCAUCAGCCUGAAACAUGAAGCAGAACAAUAUAACAAUAUAAUGAACAAUAUAAUCUAAAGAAAAACAGGAAAAAACCUAUUGGUCCAAUUUACAAACUUAACUUAAUGAGAUGUCAAAUGUAGUAUUGCAUAUAGAGUAUUGCUCAAGACGUGUCCUAAAAUAAAAUAGUUAAAUUUAGUUUGUAUCAGUUAUAAGUAAGUUUGCCAAAUGAUUAAUGUCAAUAGUCUUUCUCCGGAGCCUAAAUUAACACAUUAACUGCAUAAAUGUGCAAUCUUAGAAAAAAAACAUUGCAAAGCGAACUUGUAAUGAUAAACCUCACUAUACAAACCGGUUUCGUUGUGAAUAGUAUUUAUUAUGGGGGAACUUUGAGGUAAUUCAUGACCAACCAUAGUUUCAGGUUGACUCAAGUUUUCCUUUCUGAUUCACAGAAAGUAGGUUUGCGGUGGGUUUUAACAGAGCAGCUGAAGGUCUUUAAAGACCCUCCUCCAUGACCCCCCAUAAUUUCCUUUUUGAGAAUUGUUCCCAUUUGUGAUGGGUAAAAUAAUACUGUCCAACUUCAGUUUUUACAAAUACCCAAUGACCCAUUUGGUUAAAGUGUUUUGGCUUAUUUUUAUCUAAACAUCUGCAGUCUGUCGUUUCCGGCUUGCAUUCACAUUCACUUUCAAUACUACAUAAAUAUUCUCUCUACUGUGCCUGCAAAUGCUUUUUAACAACUUUCUGUCCUGUCCUUGUGCUCUCCUAAAAAUACAUCUUCAAUUUCUGAAAGGCCAUGCACAAAUCCGAUGAUUUCACUCUUUAUGAAAGUGAACCAUAAAACGUCACAAUGCAAGUGAUUGUCCACCGUCAGUGCAUAUUGGGAGGAGUGAAUUCUGCAAGUCAGGCACUUGAAACAAUCUAUUUGGUUUUCUUGGACUUUUCAAACUUUUUGAAGCAAUUUCGCAAGUAAACUGAAUUUGAUUGCGUUGGAUGAUAACUAGGAUAGGUGUGAAUGUACUUGUGCUUGGAGUGAAUUAACUUCUUUCUUUUUUGUAAAGUCCCUUGAGAUGACGUAAAUAAAUUGAAUUGAGCUGAAAGGAACUGAAAACUUUUUAUGUUGAAAUAAAACUUCAGAAUAUUUCGAUAUAAUUCUGUCAACAACUGAAAUCAUCAGUCUCAGAAAACUUUGCUCUUCAGUACAAUAUGCAGAACUGUAAAAAAAAAAGAAAGAAGAUGAGCUAAAAUGACUACUAGAACUAAACAUAGCUGGGCCAAUUUUACUUUUCUGACAAAAUAAAAUAUGUACACAUCUAUUUUGUCUAGAUGAGGAAGUCCACUGUGUGAGUUCAGAUGAGGCCAUCUCUUUGUCUAGUGAAAAGAUAAAACAGGAUCUUACUGAUAGUAAGGUAUUUUAAAAAUAACAGGCUAAUAUUGAAGUUACGCAAAUAAAGACUAGAUUAUUUAUUAGGCAAAAGAGCAACAAAAUAUUUCAAAGUGUGGGUUGUGCAGUGUGGGCAGUACGGUGGUAAAUGGACUGAUUCACAUCUUUGACGUGUGAAAGGUCAACGCGUUGUUUCCUCUCCCCACCAUGUGGCUGCUGUGACAAUCCUCUCUAGUAGCGGGGGAACAGUUUAGGUGGGAGGGAGAGGGGCUUGUAGUAUAGUACAUAAAGGGCUGAGAUCAAAACUCAAAGUUUCAGAAGAGUGAAAGCACGCUGCUGCUUGAAAGCCGAACACCACGUGUCUGCUGCCUGACCAAGACUUGCCGGAUUCUUCGCUCUUGUAUACAUUUCGGUAUAUGGGGAGAUUGUUUAUUAGAAACGGUGCUCACUGAAAGGCUUGAGAUCGACUCAUUUAAGGGCAAAGAGUUAUCCUGAAGAUGCAGUCCAGCUUGAUCUUAACCUCUUUUUUCUGUUUCACAACAUGGAUAAACUUGGUUCAAGCAAUCAAUGGAUCUCCUAAUGAUUGUCCAUGUACUGCGGUCUCCAAAAUAAGAAUCCAUCAUUCUAAUAUUGAGAAUUACACCAAUCAGAUGGCAGGCAUCUGUCUCUAUAGUGCAGUUGCGUUUCGUACGGUGAAAGGAAAGACAAUUUGCUCCAAUCCCAAUGAUGAAUGGGCAAAAAGUGUCAUCCGGCAGCUGGAGAAAAGAUGGAAUGAAAAAAUAUCAAGACGAGGAACACCACCACAGUCGACAAGGAUGUCGACUGUGGGGAGGUGGGGAUCAACCUCAACAUCCCCACCAUUGUCAGGACCAACGUCAACAUCAAGCCCCGCAUCAUUAUUAGGAUCCGAACCAACAUCAGACCUAACAUUAGCACCAUCAACCAAAACAUCAACCUCCUCAACAGCACCAACCUCAAUACCAUCAUCAACAACUUUAACUUCAGUAUCUACCCAGUCAACUCCAAAUCCAAGAUCAGCAUCAACAUCAUUAUCAAACACCGUUGCUGGUACCUCUGGUACCACCUCAGCAAACGAUCGUAUACCAUCAACAUCCGUGAAAACAAGAAAAGCAUCCAGACGAAGACAUCAAAGAACCAAGAAACAACCAAAACGGAGAAAUAUGAAGAAAUGGCAGAGAAAAUAUACAAGGAAAUCAAAGUGACUGCUGUCAGCAAAGUUUCUUUUAA